UUAGUUUAUUUUACCGACGAGGAAUUCCGUGGGUAAAGCUAUUUUUUUAAAUAGCUUAUUAUUUUAUAAAAAGCUAUUUUCCGAGGGGUUGUGUGCCCUCGGAAAUCUGAAAUUUAAUUUCACGGGUUUAUUUAACUUUUUUACUUUUCUUUUCAACCCAAGCCCUCAUUUUACCGCUUUUCUCUCUUUCUCCUCGAUUCCGUGGAACCCGUCGCCGACUGAGAAGGAUCUCGUGGGGCGUCCCCGGUGGAAGAGAACUCUGGAGGAAGAUUCGUGGAGCGUCUCUGGCGGAAGAUUCCUGAUCUCUCACUUGAUCAUUAGCAUGCAUGGGUUCAAAAAGAUCGAAGCUCCGAAGGCAUGACUACUACACUCAGUUCUACUGUCACCUUCUAAAUUGCGGCCGAGCCUGCUAGACGGCGUAUCAGGUGAUCCCUUCUUAACCCUGAAGGAAGUGAGAGACGACCUCAAAUCUCACAGCUAGAAGGACUGCCACUUCUCAUCUCUUCUCACCUACAGCGCCGCAGUAUUUACAGAUGAUCUUUUGAGGAAAAAUAAGAAAAUAUGGUUCAAGCUCUUCAAAAUCUGAAUAGAUCACUUAACAAGCCGAUGCAGCUGGGCUUUGGAAAGAAGAGUGUGGACACCCUUGUGCAGAAACUCUGGACUUAAUUCUUCUUACAGAUUGACUAUACUAACUUCUUAUUGUAUAUAGAUGAUGUUCUCGGAGGCAAGCUCGAUAAGAAAAAGAGGUUGAUAGGGAUGAGGAACUUUGCAAAACACCUCAUGGGUAACAACUCGAUACAAAAUGUAGGAGGGAUUGGUCAUCACGCCUCAGCCUGCCUGGAUCCUUCCUUGCGAGACCAAAUACGAGAUGAAGUGUGCCAAGAAUUGUGGUGCCAAAUGCAGCAAGAAUGACUUGAGCAAAAAAUGGGAGAUGGGAAGGAUGAUAAAGCAGUUUAUGACGUCCAAGCAACCCCAACAAUCAAGUCACACUCUUGCUGAUGAUUCUUGCAUAGAAUUGAUACGUCUCAUGAACUUAUUUCAAAACCCGAUACUUUAUGUUUCUUUUUGCUUUGUGCGUUGGUUGUGUAAUACUUUUGAGGUUUAUAUAUCAUGAUUUGAUUUUAUUGGUAA